rnacentral:tRNA from 1 species
GUUAAUAAUAAAAUUGAAAUAAUUUUCCAAUUAAAGAAAUAUAAAUAUAAAGCUUCUAACUUUAAAAUAUAGUGAUUAAUUAUUCAUUAAUAUUUCUU